rnacentral:ribozyme from 1 species
ACAAUGAAAGAAACUAGAAGAAACGCCGAAAAACAUAUAAAGAGAAAACAAGCCUGUGAAUUAGUGAAAUUUAUCAUUUGACAAUUUUGUCGUUCUCAUUCCCAUUUAUUUUAUU